UACGUAGGAGACGAGCGUUGUCCGGAAUCACUGGGCGUAAAGCGCGUGUAGGCGGAUGGGCAAGUCUGCUGUAAAGGCCCUGGCUUAACCAGGGAUGUCGGUGGAAACUGCUCGUCUGGAGGACGGUAGAGGUAGGUAGAAUUCCCGGUGUAGUGGUGAAAUGCGUAGAGAUCGGGAGGAAUACCUGUGGCGAAGGCGGCCUACUGGGCCGGACCUGACGCUGAGACGCGAAGGCGUGGGGAGCGAAACGGGG
rnacentral:rRNA from 1 species